rnacentral:lncRNA from 1 species
GGUCUUCAAUGUAGCGAGAAAUUCCCGCACCCGGAGGCGUCCUUCAGCUAGCCCCUAAACAAAUAUAUACUAGUUCAGUGAUAAUGAACGCCAUACUAAUUUCCAAAUUGUACACAAGAAACUAAAAUUAAAAUAAUACAAGACUAACAAAGGCCAGAGGCUCCUGACUUGGGACAGGCGCAAAAAUGUGGCGGGGUUAAACAUGUUUAUGAGAUCUCAACCCUCCCCCUAUACC